GAUGUCCUGACCCCACCUCAUUUAGUUUAAUUUUUCAUAAUUUUCUUGAUUAAUUUUCUAUUUAUUUGUUAUUUUUUAAGUUGACUUGAAUUUUAGUUGACUUCUUUAUGAUCGAUGUUUGACUUAGGGAUUGCUUAUGGCAAUUGAAGAGAUCUUUUGAUCCUCCCUUGUUCAUCUCAUAUGCCAUGUAUUAGAGGCCUUUUACCUUGAUUUUAUUUGGUCCUUACCUCAUUUCCUGAUUAAAUUAUUCAGUGGACCCUUCGUGUGCAUAUUUUCA
rnacentral:lncRNA from 1 species